UCCCUCUUAGCUCAGUUGGUAGAGCGCGUCACUAGUAUUUCCAGAGAUUACAUCUUGAUAUACAUAUGACGAGGUCAGUCGUUCAAAUCGGCUAGCGGGAA